AAGGUUUAUUUGGGGGUUUUAUCAAUUGUUUCUUGUCUAUAUUAAAAGUUUGAGGAUAAAAUAAGCAAAGAAUUGCAAGUUGUAAAGAUAAGUAUGAUAUAAAACAUUUUAUAUAAGAUUAUAGUUUAGUUUGUACCGUGUGGGAUUGUUAUAGGAUUAGUCUAAAGAAAGCGUUUAUUUUUGUACCUUUUGUAUCAGGGAUAAUCAAAAUAUUUAGUUUAUUAAUGAAAGUCUCGAAGUAAGAAGAGCAAAUAUGUUAUUAUUGUUUAUGUGGAAAAAUAAAAUUAUAAAUAGUAUAUUAGUGGUGAUACGCCAGGCGAUUCUUUUAUAUCUAGUUUUUCUCGAAGCAGAUUUAAUUUGAUCUUUUAUUUAAAGAUGUAAAAGGUGGACUCUAAGAGGGAUGAGCUUCUUGAGAAAGCAAACAAGACUUUAGAAAUUACAUUGUCUUUUAUUUAAGCUUAAAAUCAGCUAUUUUUUUAAAUCGUUCUAGAUGCUAGGUUUAUUGGUAAUUAUUUUUUUGUUGUCUGUUAGUAAAUAGAGAAAAUUUUGUGUUAAUUUAUUUAAUAAAUUUAUAAUGGUUGUAUUAGUAGAAAUUAUUUUGUGGGUGUGAUAGCUGAAUUUUUAAGUUUGAUUAUAUAAUUGUUGAGAAGUUAUAAUUAAAGAACUCGGCAAAUUUUACUUCUGCCUGUUUAUCAAAAACAUGUCUGUAUGAGUAAAUUAAUAUACAGUCUGGCCUGCCCCCUGAAAACUUUAAAGGGCCGCGGUAUCUGAACCGUGCUAAGGUAGCAUAAUAAAUAGUCUUUUAAUUGAGGUCUAGUAUGAACGGUCGGACAUGAAGUACUCUGUUUUAAUUAUAAAAUUUGAAUUUUACUUUUAAGUGAAAAGGCUUAAAUUGUAUGGUGGGACGAUAAGACCCUAUAAAGCUUUACAUUUUAUCAGUAUAGCUGGAGAAUUUAUGGUUUUCUAUGCUUGACGGGUCAAGUGUUUCGUUGGGGCGACGAAAAUAUAAAAUAGUAACUGUUUUUGGUUUAAAAAUAAAUUUUUUUAGGUGUUAAGAUCCUUUAUAGAGAUUAUAAGAAUAAAGUUACUUUAGGGAUAACAGCGUAAUUUUUCUUGAGAGUUCAUAUCGACAGAAUUAGUUGCGACCUCGAUGUUGAAUUAAGAUGCCCCUUAGGUGUAGCAGUUUUAGUGGUAGGUCUGUUCGACCUUUAAAAUCUU
rnacentral:rRNA from 1 species